GUUUUUCAAUAACCUUCUUGUGUU
rnacentral:snRNA from 1 species